AUUGAACGCUGGCGGCAGGCCUAACACAUGCAAGUCGAACGGUAACAGGAAGCAGCUUGCUGCUUUGCUGACGAGUGGCGGACGGGUGAGUAAUGUCUGGGAAACUGCCUGAUGGAGGGGGAUAACUACUGGAAACGGUAGCUAAUACCGCAUAACGUCGCAAGACCAAAGAGGGGGACCUUCGGGCCUCUUGCCAUCGGAUGUGCCCAGAUGGGAUUAGCUAGUAGGUGGGGUAACGGCUCACCUAGGCGACGAUCCCUAGCUGGUCUGAGAGGAUGACCAGCCACACUGGAACUGAGACACGGUCCAGACUCCUACGGGAGGCAGCAGUGGGGAAUAUUGCACGAUGGGCGCAAGCCUGAUGCAGCCAUGCCGCGUGUAUGAAGAAGGCCUUCGGGUUGUAAAGUACUUUCAGCGGGGAGGAAGGGAGUAAAGUUAAUACCUUUGCCCAUUGACGUUACCCGCAGAAGAAGCACCGGCUAACUCCGUG
rnacentral:rRNA from 1 species